rnacentral:rRNA from 1 species
UCGGGAAUUUUGGGCAAUGGGCGAAAGCCUGACCCAGCAACGCCGCGUGAGGGAUGAAGUAUUUCGGUAUGUAAACCUCGAAAGAAUGGGAAGAAUAAAUGACGGUACCAUUUAUAAGCUCCGGCUAACUACGUGCCAGCAGCCGCGGUAAUACGUAGGGAGCAAGCGUUGUUCGGAUUUACUGGGCGUAAAGGGCGCGUAGGCGGCGCGGUAAGUCACUUGCGAAAUCUCUGAGCUUAACUCAGAACGGCCAAGUGAUACUGCUGUGCUAGAGUGCGGAAGAGGCAACCGGAAUUCUUGGUGUAGCGGUGAAAUGCGUAGAUAUCAAGAGGAACACCUGAGGCGAAGGCGGGUUGCUGGGCCGACACUGACGCUGAUGCGCGAAAGCCAGGGGAGCAAACG